AAUUUUGGACAAUGGGGGAAACCCUGACCCAGCCACCCCGCGUGUAUGAUGAAGGCCUUCGGGUUGUAAAGUACUUUUGCCAGAGAAGAAAAGGUACCCCCUAAUCCGGACUACUGCUGACGGCAUCUCCAGAUUAACCCCCGCCUACCUCCUUCCCACCACCCGCGGUAAUACGUAGGGUGCAAGCGUUAAUCGGAAUUCCUGGGCGUAACGCGUGUGUAGGCGGUUCGGAAAGAAAGAUGUGAAAUCCCAGGGCUCAACCUUGGAACUGCAUUUUUAACUGCCGAGCUAGAGUAUGUCAGAGGGGGGUAGAAUUCCACGUGUAGCAGUGAAAUGCGUAGAUAUGUGGAGGAAUACCGAUGGCGAAGGCAGCCCCCUGGGAUAAUACUGACGCUCAGACACGAAAGCGUGGGGAGCAAACAGG
rnacentral:rRNA from 1 species